ensembl:lncRNA
GGUGAUCAUGUGAUACAUUUUAUAAAGUAAACUGGUGGCUUUGUAUUGGAAAGAGUCAGAGGUCACACAUGAAGGCAGCUCCACCCUCUGUGUGUUUUAUGUAUGUUUGUAUAUAUUUUUUCAUUUCCUUGUCCAACCUGGGCUGAACAAUAUUCUGCGAAUUGUCCAUUUUCUCAGAGUACUCGCUGCAGCCCUCAGAGGUUUCGAUCAAAACUUUCCAGCUGAGAGAUGAAGUUACAUGACUUAAUCUGCCUUUUUUAUAUUUUAACAUGUUUUUGGAUAUUUAUUAACAAUUUAAAGGCAAAAUAUUAAAGAUUAGAGAGAUGUUAUGAAACAGCUGUAGAAAGACUUCUAGUUCUGCAUUCACAUUGUGAACAACGUGGGGCUGCUGGUGCAGAAAUGCAUAGUUUAUUUUGACCUUUAAACGUUACACUUGAAAUUAUACUAAAUAUUUUUACAGUAAGAAUGAGUCAAAAAAAUGUUGAAGCACACAUGUACUGCUACGUUUUUUUGUUGUUGUUGUUAAUGUGGACAUCCCACAUAUCUGAAAAAAUAUGUAGAUCUGGGACUAGUGGCCGCUUAGCUUAGCUUAGCUUAGCAUUGGACCUAGAAAUUAGCUUAUCCAAAAUCAGCAUAGUGAUGUGUGGUGUCAACCAAUGAAAGUGGCUUGAAGGCCAAAGGUGGAGCUCUACGUCAAGUGCUACUACUGCCACUUUUGUCUAGCCUGCAGGUAUCUUCUUUGGAGUCACACAAUAUUGGACGAUCACAAGGGGUUUUUUCUUUUUCUUUUUUUUUUUAGACUUAGCUAGAAAAAUUACUUGGCUAUGCUAAAGAAAACAUUGUUUGACUGUGCAAGUUGAGAAAUUAGGCUAAUUGUACCUACACUGCAACAACAUGACAGAAAUUGAUUGCAAUAAACUUGUCAAAAUGUUGAAUUCAAGCAUCCUUUCAGGGCCAGGGCUAACUAACAUAGUAAGAUUUUCCAAAAGAAACACCAGCAUUUUUGUUACAAGUUAAGUCUGCUAUAACAAUAUUUCCAGAGAGAAGCUCAUCUUUAAAUGGGAAUUGAUUUGAGGUAGACUGGAGGCCACUGUGGCAUUGCACUGGCUCAGUCUAAACCAGUCUCUGGCCACUUUCAGUGUAACUGGGUGGCUAGCUGGUUUAAGUCCUGAUUAUACUCGGACAUGGACAGAUGGAGACAUGAUGGCAGAGUUGCUAUAUUUUAAUGUAAUGUCUCAGCAGAUGAGUCCGUUAAGUCAGAAGAAACAUGCAGAUCGGCAGAUGUCUGGAUAGACCCUGGCACUCACUGUCUGACGAAGAAAAUUUAUGUCACUUAAAUACCCGCGGACUGGCUGCAGAAAGUAUAAUUAAGGCUUAACAACCAGCAUAGGCUUUAUUAAGAACUCCGUAGACUUAUGGGGUCAGGUGUUUCAAAGCUUUACGGAAAGAUAAGCUAAUAAACUGCUAGCUUAAGUGCACACCAGGAAAUUAUUCUUAAACACUUGCACAGUUGGGUGAUUCUCACAAAGAUCCCCCCACACGAGGAAAAAUACAAGGCUUCUGGAACAUUGAUACUAUUAAAGAUUCAGUAUUUUCUAACUUUCAGAUGUUAGUUUAAAUUUUGCCUUUAAGCUCAUCAUUUUCCUCCAAACUGUCAAAGAAAGUAGAAUCUCGUGUUGCUCAGCUGUGAGGCGGGCCUUACUGCCAGGUAAAUGCAACAUGUGGACCGUGUAAAGGCUACAAAUGCUUGGGACAGUUCUCCAAGGCUUUUGGACCUUUUAAAGAGAAAAAUCAUGCGUGUAUAUGAGGCUUUUACUGUUCGUCUCAUUCUAAUUUAUUUAGAAUUAUGUUGCACAUUGGAUCUUAAGUUUAGCUGCAUGUUGUUCACAGUGUGAAAGCACGUUCUUCGAGCUGUACGCUGCCUUAUUUCUGUGGGAUUUUGAACUUUUAUAGUGACUGCAGAGGAUGUUGGAAAGGUUUCCUGAAAGUUUCUCGUAACUUCUCUCAUGACAGACAGAAACACUCAGUCCGCCCAGGUCGGGUCUCUGCUAGCUGUAAAUAGGAAAGUUCAUAUUUUCUAUCAAUGAUGUGCAAUUCUCAUGAAGGGACAGUUCCUGCAGUCUUUUUUUGUUUUUGAUCAGUUUGAAGCAAAACGAGGUUUGAUGUUUUAAUUAUUCUCUCCUUAAAAUUAUUUUUGGUCUAAUUGAGGGUUUAUUCAGGGCUGAACAAAGAGUCUAAUAUAAUCACUCACAAACAAAACCAGCUGUACCUCAAAUUUGUCCAACACCUAAAAACCCCCCACACAAAAAAACAUUUUAAACUGUAAAUGUUUUUGUCUAGGUGUGUGUUUGUAUCAUCAGCGCUUGUUUUUGUUGAUCCAUGUCGGGGCAGUCGCCUCCUCAUAACUGAUUCUGUUAAAAUCCAGCAUAGAUGUUGCUAGCUAAAACAAAACAGGCGCAUCUCGGUGCUGUUUUACUAGACAGCGAGAAGGAAUGUGCGCACACACAAAGAGGGCCUGAAAUUAAUAGCUGGCCGCCAGUCGAACACAAGCGCUAAAUCAGAAGAUAUUUUUUUGUAAUUUUUUGUUUAUUUGAACCAAAUCCAAAAAACUUUGAAAAACAGUAUUUUGAGAUCUGGGAAGAUGUGUUUUCAGAUUGGGUUGUUGGUUGGCUAAAAAAAAAAAAAAAGUUUCAGAGCCCAAAAAACAGAGUUUAAUAUCAUGCGGCUUCAUGAUGAACAAGUUUACAGCUCACUGAUGUUUUAUUUAUGUCAUGUUACAACCUUGAAACCGUGACCUGUGUAUCAUUUCUUUUGAUAUGCUGCUCUGGAUCGUUCACCUGGAAUUAAACUGAUGUCUUUUAAACUA